NGACCUCAGAUCAGACAAGACUACCCGCUGAAUUUAAGCAUAUUAAUAAGCGGAGGAAAAGAAACUAACAAGGAUUCCCCCAGUAACGGCGAGUGAAGCGGGACCAGCUCAAACUUAAAAUCUCGUUGCUUGCAACGGCGAAUUGUAGUCUCGAGAAGCGUUUUCAAGGCGAAUGCGCAGUACUUAAGUUGCUUGGAACGGCACAUCGUAGAGGGUGACAAUCCCGUACGUGGUACUGUGCAUCGCUCAUGAUGCGCUUUCUAUGAGUCGGGUUGCUUGGUAAUGCAGCCCAAAAUGGGAGGUAAACUCCUUCUAAAGCUAAAUAUUGGCACGAGACCGAUAGCGAACAAGUACCGUGAGGGAAAGA
rnacentral:rRNA from 1 species